UCCCAGGACCCAGGCAAGGGGCACGAGUGUGACCCCCCCAGGCCUUCCCCUGGUUCCGUUUCCCUCCCUAGCCCGGUCCCCACGAUGGGUGGGGACAGUGGGCUGUGACAAUGGAUCGCGACUGCUGUUUUUACCUGGCGGACGAUGCGCCCGAAUUCGCUUUAACCAGAUGCCCCUCUUCGCCUGGAGCCCUGGGAGCAGUCCCCCUCUCCGCUCAACAAUAAUUAGCCUGCGAUCUGAUUACCUACCAGGAAUGGCAAGUGGCCUCGCUGAAAGUCUCGGCUCUUUGAGAAAUGAGAGAUGGGAGCCCUCACUGCCGAUGUUUCUUCCACACGCUUUGCUGGGUUAGAGGCAAGCUCAUGACCGCCUUGAAAAGCCAUUUUAGACAAAUCUUCCUUUGCAUUCUUGCUGGAGCCCUUCUCUUAUGCCCUUCCUUGGACAUUUGCUCUUUCACUCCCUCCCCCAUGCACUCACCCCACCCAUAGUGACUGCGCUCCUCCUGCCUGCGACGCUGGCAACAGGCAGCACAGU
rnacentral:lncRNA from 1 species